rnacentral:rRNA from 1 species
UCCGUAGGGUGCAAUCGUUAUUCGGAAUCACUGGGCGUAAAGGGCGCGCAGGCGGUUUUGUAAGUCGAAAAUGAAAUCCUUGGGCUUAACCCAGGGGCUGUUUUAGAUACUGCAAAACUCGAGUUCGGGUAAAGCAAGCAGAAUUCCUGGUGAAGGGGUGAAAUCCGUAGAUAUCAGGAAGAACACCAGUGGCGAAAGCGGCUUGCUAGAACGCCACUGACGCUUAGGCGCGAAAGCGUGGGGAGCAAACAGG